ACUCAAAUGAAUAGACGGGGACCCGCACAAGCGGUGGAGCAUGUGGUUUAAUUCGACGCAACGCGAAGAACCUUACCUAGGCUAGAAUGUGAGGGAAGUCUGCGUAACAGCAGGCGUCUGAGAAAUCAGACCCAAAACAAGGUGCUGCAUGGCUGUCGUCAGCUCGUGUCGUGAGAUGUUGGGUUAAGUCCCGCAACGAGCGCAACCCUUAUCAACAGUUGCCAUCAUUAAGUUGGGAACUCUGUUGAGACUGCCGUUGAUAAAACGGAGGAAGGUGGGGAUGAUGUCAAGUCAUCAUGGCCUUUAUGCUUAGGGCUACACACGUGCUACAAUGGCCGGUACAAAACGUCGCAAUCCCGUAAGGGGGAGCUAAUCGCAAAAACCGGUCUCAGUUCGGAUUGAAGUCUGCAACUCGACUUCAUGAAGUUGGAAUCGCUAGUAAUCGCGGAUCAGAACGCCGCGGUGAAUACGUUCCCGGGUCUUGCACACACCGCCCGU
rnacentral:rRNA from 1 species